GAUGAAGAACGUAGCGAAAUGCGAUAAGUAAUGUGAAUUGCAGAAUUCAGUGAAUCAUCUAAUCUUUGAACGCACAUUGCGCCCGCCAGUAUUCUGGCGGGCAUGCCUGUUCGAGCGUCAUUUCAACCAUCAAGCCCCCGGCUUGUGUUGGGGACCUGCGGCUGCCGCAGGCCCUGAAAAGCAGUGGCGGGCUCGCUGUCACACCGAGCGUAGUAGCAUACAUCUCGCUCUGGGCGUGCUGCGGGUUCCGGCCGUUAAACCACCUUCAUAACCCAAGGUUGACCUCGGAUCAGGUAGGAAGACCCGCUGAACUUAAGCAUAUCAAUAAGCGGAGGA
rnacentral:misc_RNA from 1 species